UACGAAGGGGGCUAGCGUUGUUCGGAAUUACUGGGCGUAAAGCGCACGUAGGCGGCUAUUUAAGUCAGGGGUGAAAUCCCAGAGCUCAACUCUGGAACUGCCUUUGAUACUGGGUAUCUUGAGUAUGGAAGAGGUAAGUGGAAUUCCGAGUGUAGAGGUGAAAUUCGUAGAUAUUCGGAGGAACACCAGUGGCGAAGGCGGCUUUCUGGUCCAUUACUGACGCUGAGGUGCGAAAGCGUGGGUAGCAAACAGG
rnacentral:rRNA from 1 species